UACGUGGGGUGCGAGCGUUGUCCGGAAUUAUUGGGCGUAAAGGGCUCGUAGGCGGUCUGUCGCGUCGGGAGUGAAAACUCAGGGCUUAACCCUGAGCCUGCUUCCGAUACGGGCAGACUAGAGGUAUGCAGGGGAGAACGGAAUUCCUGGUGUAGCGGUGAAAUGCGCAGAUAUCAGGAGGAACACCGGUGGCGAAGGCGGUUCUCUGGGCAUUACCUGACGCUGAGGAGCGAAAGUGUGGGGAGCGAACAGG
rnacentral:rRNA from 1 species